UCAUAAUCAGUGAAAACGAGUAGGGCGGGACACGUGAUAUCCUGUCUGAAUAUGGGGGGACCAUCCUCCAAGGCUAAAUACUACUGACUGACCGAUAGUGAACCAGUACCGUGAGGGAAAGGCGAAAAGAACCCCUGUGAGGGGAGUGAAAUAGAACCUGAAACCGUGUACGUACAAGCAGUAGGAGCACCUUCGUGGUGUGACUGCGUACCUUUUGUAUAAUGGGUCAGCGACUUAAUUUUAGUAGCAAGGUUAACCGUUUAGGGGAGCCGUAGGGAAACCGAGUCUUAACUGGGCGUACAGUUGCUAGGAUUAGACCCGAAACCAGGUGAUCUAGCCAUGGGCAGGUUGAAGGUUGAGUAACAUCAACUGGAGGACCGAACCGACUAAUGUUGAAAAAUUAGCGGAUGACUUGUGGCUAGGGGUGAAAGGCCAAUCAAACCUGGAGAUAGCUGGUUCUCCCCGAAAGCUAUUUAGGUAGCGCCUCGGACGAAUACUACUGGGGGUAGAGCACUGUUAAGGCUAGGGGGUCAUCCCGACUUACCAACCCUUUGCAAACUCCGAAUACCAGUAAGUACUAUCCGGGAGACACACGGCGGGUGCUAACGUCCGUCGUGGAGAGGGAAACAACCCAGACCGCCAGCUAAGGUCCCAAAGUAUAGCUAAGUGGGAAACGAUGUGGGAAGGCUCAGACAGCCAGGAUGUUGGCUUAGAAGCAGCCAUCAUUUAAAGAAAGCGUAAUAGCUCACUGGUCGAGUCGGCCUGCGCGGAAGAUGUAACGGGGCUAAGCUAUACACCGAAGCUGCGGCUACGUACCUUAGGGUAUGUGGGGUAGGGGAGCGUUCUGUAAGCCGUUGAAGGUGGUCUGUAAGGGCUGCUGGAGGUAUCAGAAGUGCGAAUGCUGACAUGAGUAACGAUAAAGGGAGUGAAAAACUCCCUCGCCGGAAGACCAAGGGUUCCUGUCCAACGUUAAUCGGGGCAGGGUAAGUCGACUCCUAAGGCGAGGCCGAAAGGCGUAGUCGAUGGGAAACGGGUUAAUAUUCCCGUACUUCUUACAAUUGCGAUGGGGGGACGGAGAAGGCUAGGUGGGCCUGGCGACGGUUGUCCAGGUUCAAGUAUGUAGGCGG
rnacentral:rRNA from 1 species